UUGACCAAUCUUCCUCUGAAAUUUGGUGGCAGUGUUAUUCUGGCCCCAUAAUAUUACAUUAACUCUUCUUCUGCUCUGUGGCAGCCAUUUUGCUCUAGUUCUAUUUCAGUUCUGACAAAAUCUUGAAUCUCCCUUUAAAGAAAAAUGCACAGCUUUCAUUUCUAGUUUUUGUUAUAUAAUAACAUGAUGUAAGGGACACAGAGAAAGGUGUUGUUAUUUGAUGUUGGCAGUUGCCAGGGCCUUCCUCUUUCUUAUUCCAGUGCAGGGGAUAUCAGAGCUAGACUGUGCUCCAUAUGUAGGGUGUGAUACAGCCAUUAGCUUGUCCUGAGGUUUGAUGCAAAGAUAUGUGACAAGUUUAAAUGCUGGGAAAAGUCCACAGAAAUAAUAUAGCAGAUUGUAAUUAAAAUAGUCUUUGCACACACCAUGCUAAUCUCAACUGCUUGCAAUACCAGUCCAGCCUGAACUGCUUUCAAUGAGGAAUAUAGAUAUAUAUGUGUAUAAAAAGUAUAUAUGUAUAUAUAGACUAUAUAUAUGUGUGUGUGUAUACAUAUACAUAUAUAUUUUAUUUUAACUGGUUUUGUGAGUUUCCUUUGCUAACAGUUGAAUUUAUGGCUUUGUUUUAGCAGGAGUCAUCCUGAAAGAAGGUCUACAUGUAUCCUUGUGAUGGAAAUUAAUCAGUGCAGGUCUCAGACACCAGACAUCCAGGCCUAAGUAGGCUUCUAGAAAAUCUGUAAGGUACAAAGAACCAACUAGAUGUGCUUUCCUUACAUUUCAGAAACAUAUAGAUGGGCUGCAGGAAUCAGGACAGUUCACAUCCCUUUGGGAAUCACAUACCUAUGUAUUUUUUCAGAAUUUAUGAGUUUAUGUAGCAAGUAGCACAGCUCCAGACUGCUGUGUACCUCCCUUACCAAUGAGGUUUUCCAUACUGGAAAUUCUCUCUGUUUGUGCUGCCAGAAAUUAAAGAGUUGAUGCCAUGCUCCCUCUAGAAUUACACGUUUAUGGCACACAUCAGUGGGGCUUGUCCUGUCUGAAAUGAGCCCCAUUUCUUUAUGCCACCAAAAGUCCAUUGACAGAAAUUUAAUGAAUAUGUUCUUCCAGCUGAGGAUGUCUGGUGGAUUUCUUUUCUUCCAGCAAGAAUCGUUAUGCUUCUUAUGCCAGCAAUGCUGGUAGGUCAUAUGGCAAAAUUUGAAUGCAUGUAUUUUUCUGCUUCAGGCUAAACUCUGCUUUUCUUUGUUAAGAUGUUGUUAUCACAGUUUUUUCUUCCUAACUUGUCCUGUUCUAGAGAAUAGCUGUUCUUUUACUCUAAUUUGUUUUAAGCAGCCUUAUGAUAAGCCACCAUAGCAGAUGUCAAGAGGUUAAUGUUUUUCCUCGUGCAGUAUGUUACAGAAGUCAGAGAACAAGAACCUCAAAGGAGAAUCUGUGCGUUAAGUACAUAAACAAAUGAACAAAUAGAAAAAUAGAUGGCAGUGUGAAAAUUUCAGCCAUACUUCCACUGUUACAAAUCAACUGGAAUAAUACAGGCAAACAUUCUCAUGCAUGGAGAUCACUGUCUGCUCUACCCAGAAAGAAGGAGAACAGCCUUACUGGUGACAGGUAUGCUGAACGUUGCAUCAGCCAUUUACAAAACUUCCUUCAUUUAUGCUGCUUAAGAGGAUGUGCUGAAUUGAUUUUAACUCCUUAUUAUUUUUUGCUUGAAAAACAUACCAAUGGUAAUUCUGAAACAUCUUUCAAUUUGGAGGCCAAUGAGAGGAUUUCAUUUACCAGUUCUUCUACUUAUGCUAUACUUAGACUGAUAGCCUCAAGCAUUGCCUGGAGAGGUAGUAGAUUUUAUUAGGCCAGCUGAUACGGUUGGAAAAAAACCACCAAGCUUAAUGUCACACAGUCCCUUCAUCGGACUAAGUGCUGUGUUUAUCGCUGUGCCACUCCAGUGUUAUACUACUGUAAGUCUACAGAAGCCAAUGGAAUUACAUUGGCAUGGUACUAGGGUAGCCCAGCAGUAAAUCAGGCCUUGAGCUGUUCUGCUUGAUGAGCUCUGAAGCUGAGCUUCGUAUGCCACAAAGGUCAGGGUGAUGGGUUAUGCAUCAUAUUUUACCUCUCCUGCUGCAUGCUUAUUUCUAAAUGACCUUUUGUAAAACAGUAAAAAAAGGGUGUAUCUUAUCAUUCCACAUAAGCUAGAGCUUCUCUGACUUGAGUCAAGAUGACAAAUAAGGUCCUUGAUCCUCCUGGAUUUGACAAAAAAACUUGUGUCUGUUCUGGUAAAUCCAAAUGUAUCUGGGAACAUCUGUGGGCACUGGAACAUGAUUAUCUGUGCUAGCAAACUGCGGGAACAGCUCUGGCAUGGACUUGACUUGUCCUAUCUAGCACUCUGGUUUGCAUUCAGCUAUCUCAUUUUGAAGGACAGAAACAUUUAGUAGCACAGAUGUAGGCUCUUCCAUGCCAGUUGGCAUCUUUGCCUGGGAACACUCCUGGGCAUGUUUGAUCUACUAGUUCAGAUGCAACAAAAUAAUCUGAGAACACUAGCAGCAAACUAGUCAGAAUCACAUGUACCUCAUCCACCCACAAAGGUGAGCUCUGAAAUUGAGAAAGGGUCUUGUUCCAUAUGUCCUGUUCAACCUCUGCCAUUUUAAAACCACACCUUCUAUAACACAGUUGUCUUAGUUUGCUGGAAGAGGAGAACUGGAAUAAGGUUGGUGUCUGCAGUGAGGCCCAAGUUUGUUCUUUCAUGCUCUCUGGGUGGACUGGGCAUGGAUGAGGCUAAGCCAUUGCUACCUACUCCACCAGCAAGUAGUCUGCAUGAUUUUGGCCCUUCUUUACCAUUAGGAGGAUAGUUUGAGCCAGAGCUGCCCCAGUGAUCUGGGUAGGAAGUGCAUGGGUUAUGGGUCCCUAUGCAUUAUCUCAAGUCACUUCCUCACCUCGAAGUUUAGAUAUUAUCCCUAUCUCAUAAAUGUCCCGCAUCAUUAUGCAACACAUUCAGUUUUAUCCUUACCGCAUAGUGAAGAGGAUUUCAGCAAUGAGGAAGGUGAAGCAGAAGUGCAUAUGGAUAUAUUGCUGUGGUGAUGGUGAUGGGGAGAUGUACAUAAUGCAUGGGAGAAAGAGAGAGUUCACAGAGAAAGAUGAUGGCAAAAUGAUGAAUGACAGAGAUGGACAUGAACUCCAGGUUAGUGAGGAAAUCUGAGGGGGGCCUGUACAAACUAUUUGAUCAAAGGAGAAAUUUCUAUUUUGAAUGCAUUUAGCUGGUUGAAGCUUUGGAGAAAAUAUAAUUUAUGUAAGUUGGGCAGACAGAGAGAUGAGUGUCUGAGGGGAGUGGGUAUGUGAGCAGCAGCUGUAGUGAGCAGCAAAGUUAGAGGCAAGAGGCUUAAAUUCCACUACUGAGGACUACGGUGACCAGGAGAAAAGCACCUGGGAGGACUGUGUAAAGAUAAUUAAGGGUAAUGUCAGAUUUCAGAGUAUGAGACAAAAUAAAUGGAAGGAAGUCUCUGCCAUGAUGUAAUCAGAAAGUAUAGAAAGGAGGCAAUUAAAACUGAAUGAGAGGGAAAGGAUUAGGAGAGAAAAGAUAUCCAGAGAUGCCAUGAAAAGUAAAGAUUCAUUUCACUUGUAAAGCAAUGCAUUUUAUUGUGAAUCCGUGAUAGGAUUUUCCUUCUCCUGCAUGUAGACUUCUUGCUGAAUAUUGAGUCCAUGCUCCCAGACUCUAUGGAUAGUGCCUGUAUGUGGUUAGCCUGCCUCUGUGGUGAGGUCUGAGGAAAUACAUUCGUGUUUAUUCAUGGUAGGCCUUUUUUCUUUACAGCCUCCUUUUGUGAUCCUUACAGGCAUUAGGACACACAGCUUGGGAGUGCUAGUCUAUGGAAAUUGCUCCUGCAAUCUGGCCUUAAGACUUUCCAACCAAGCCCCCAUUUGGGGCUUAAGAUUGCUGAGAAGAUACAAAACUUCAUAAGGUUUCAAAAUGUCUCCAGUGGGAGGGAAGCAAGCUCUGAAGACUUCCCCUGAAGUACCAGGGCAAGUGAGCCAUACAUGCAGUGACUGGGACAGUCACAAGGGACGUGGGAGGCCUGGGGUUGGGGCUUGCUCUGCCUUCUCCCACAUCCUGCGCGUGUGCCCCAGCCUCAGAGCUAUUAGCAUCUCUCUAUCUUUCCUACUGCAAAUGUUUUGCUUUCAUAAAUAAUUAAAUAUUCAUUGAAGCAGGAAUCUUAGCCUCAGUUUCCCACAUCCUGCGUGAAUAUCUGAGCAACUGCACUGUUGAAUCAAUCUUUUGCAAAACAGUCUUCUCUCUCAGCAAGUGUUUAAGCAUUUAUGCAUGGUAGAACCACCCUAGCAGGGAAAACUAAAAGACUUGCCCUGGGAUAGAAAGCAGCCUUCAAACAGGGAGAGAGGUUUGGCCUCACACUGGGAAUAUGACAGACUCAGGUUGAGGUCCCCUGUCUAAUUCAGAUGUUGGGAAAUGAACCUAUUUGUCACAUACAUGGUUAGUCUAGGAAAAUACGGUCUUUAACACACAUUUUUUACCAGAGUUUUCCUCCUGGAUCCCCAGAGCCCUGUCUCCCCAAAACUUUCAUUGAAUGAGGACAUUCCUAUGAAAGGUUUUUGUUUGUCAUAGCCAUAUUUUCCAACAGCAAGCCUUUCACUGAGCACUCUUUAACAAGCAAUGCAAACUAGGGCUUGCUGCAGCACAGCACUUCAGCUGAAUGAACAGAAAAUAAGACACAUGAGCUAAUGAUCUUCUGGUUUAGCUUUCAGUAAGGAGCAGAAUUAUUGUCCUUUAUUGGGGAAUGCACAGUGAGGGGAACCCAGUUUUUGUCUCCUGUAUUUUACAGUCGUGCUUGGAAGGGCGUUGGGGUGAGAGCUGUGGCUGCAGACAGACUGUCUAAACACAGACUUGGCACAUCCUGAGAAGCAAAACAGAUGAGAGUCAGCUCAGUCAUAUCAGUGGCUGGGUUAAAUUUCCAGCUUUGCCUGUAAUGACCUCGUUUAUGGAGCAGGAUGCUGCCUUUCUGACCCCUUUAAGUGAGGACAGAGGUUUUGAGCUGUAAUAAAGGCAGUAGAUUGCAGCACGGGAUUAAAGCCACUUAGAAGAAGAGAUGAAAGGGGACCUAAAAUUGUUCACCCCAGCACAUCUGUCUAAAGACAACUGGUGUUUCAUUCAUAGCUUCUGUCUGACAGUAGUUGUGUCUCUGUGAUGUUUGAACUGAGACUCAUGGGUUCUGCCGUGGCUGCCAGAAGGAAGAGAGAAAAAGUGAGGAAAAGAAAAGGAGAUGAUUAAUAAUGGAGGGGCAUACUAGUAAGGCAGAAGACAAUUAAAUGAAAUGAAAGAAUUGUCAUGUAGGAUGACAGAAAAUAACAGAAACUUUUUAGCAAAUGGAGUUGCCUCUAAACACACUCUUUUACAGAUAUUUCCUGGGAAAGAUACUGAAGAUGAAAUUCAGACUUUGUGUAGUAGCCAGGGCGUGUCAAAAUCCAGCUUUUGUCAUUCCUCAGAAGGAAAUACAUCUUGACUUCUUAGUUCCUACCUUCCCUCAGUCCUGUGCUCAGGGAUACCAAGGCACAUGGAACUGUGUGUGAAUUCACCUGCUCCCUGGGCAGCCCAGAGCUGGCAUACCUCGGGUCAGGGCUUCCCUCAGCACAGGGAGGCCAGGGUGUGAGGGCUUGAGGAUGUGGUGGCAGCCAUGGAAAGAGUUAAACAGUGGCAGAGGGAGGAAAGAAAUGAGCAUGGUGGAGGAAAUAUUGCCAGCUUCCUCUGAUGAAGCUCAGGUAUGAAAUAAUUGGCCUGAUCUUUGAACUUCGUUGGUCCCAAACAAUACCACAAAUGGAGGUGACCCUUUUGGCACCAAACAGAUAAUUGUAGAAGGCCUACUGCCUAGCUUAGCCUAGCUUAGCCUUACACCUACAAAAAACAUAGAUCUAUACUUUAAUAUCCUGUCGAUAUUAAAGCUAGAGAGUGUUUCUCUGAGGAUAGGGAUGCCUGGUGGCCCAGUUUUAGGCAAUAACUUGUGAAAGGACCACUUGAGCAAAACAGAUCAACCUGACCUGACCGAUGGCAGAUUUUAACUGGAGCCCGGACCCCAAGAUAUCAGAUGUGCUGUUGGAGAGAACAGAGCCUUAGUUCACACAAUAUAUUUUCUUAGGUUUCCUGCUCAGAGAAUCAAAACCUUGCCUAGGGAUGGUGUUGCACAACCCGAUGCCUGGCAUGCCAGGAGAUGCAAGUCUGAUGGAGACCUGCUGGAUACCAGGUCAGGAUGUUGGAUCAGGUGGGACAAACUUCUAACCUCAGCAGCCAGCGGACACCUGGGUGGACCGAUGUUGAGGCCAUGCGGCAAGGAGGCAGCAACUCAUGGGAGCACAUAGCAGAUCUCCUAACUGCAAAUAGAGAGAUAUUCAGCUGUCCUACGUUCCUGUUGUCUUCUGUGAACCGUGUUUCCUGGACUAACUAUAUCUCCAGUGCUGCGUAUGAACUCCUUGCUUACCAGACCCAUGUGCUGUUGUCAUAAUAAUCAUGUGUAAGAAGGUAUUGAAUGAACACAGGUGAAGAUGAGGGCGUGAGCCCAGAUAAAAUUCCCAGGAGGCCAUGUACUCCUAUAGAGUACUGUAAUUCAACAUUAAAUUGAUCUUAGGCAAAAUGAUUAGGAUAGUUCAGCAAUGCAGUUCAUUUCAGCUUGGGUUUAUAUACAUAUAUAUUUAUAUAUUUAUAUAUAUUUUAGGUCUUCCCAAUAAUGCAAAACAUAUAUGUUGAUAAAUUUUUCACCAAAAAUAGAUAUUUGCAGAAACUACAUUUUUUCAUUGAAAAAAACCCACUUUCCCUCAAACUUCCUCAUUAUUCCAAGAGAUAGAAUAAUCAAGUCUAAUCUGUACAUUGAAGGAUCUCAGACAGUAUAUUGAUGUUGUAAACUUUCCACUGAUCAGGAUCCUUUUAUCCAUGGACAAGUGCUAAUUAGAUUAUUUUAGUGUUUCUCACACACAGGCUUAUUAUUGCAGUAUUGCUCUUGAGUGUUGUGUUGGUGACAAAAGUUGAUUUUCUUUGCUGGUUUAUAUUAGUAGCUGCAUGUGGGGGAGGAAGGAGGGAAGCAGGUCUUGCUUUGAUUUGAUCAUGCUGAGCUGAGUCUUUCACAUUUCAGUUUAAGAAAGUAAAUUGAAAUUGUGGUAAAUCCUGGGGCUUCUGGUUGGUUCCCACAGUUCAUCUAAAUCUGGCAGUGAAAUUACUGAGUUACGUGCCAUGUAGAAAUAACUUGACUCAUAUUGUCUUGAAAGGUGGUUAUUAACAAGAUUAAAUGUUCUGAUAGCCUUGAUAUUCAUUUAGCAUAAUGAGUGUUGACUAGGAAAAGAUAACACUGAGAAAUAAAUAACUGUGUCUGAAAUUACCUUUUGACAUAUAACAUCUACUUGGGAAAGUCACAGAAGGAAAAUGUCACAUAGUGAAAUACCAGUAACUACAGUGUAGGUUUAGAGAGCAGAAGUUACUCUGCACUACCCGUCUAUAUGGAUAAUAAUACUCUAAGGAAGAGCUAGUGUGAAAGAGCUGUUAAAUGCCUUUUCUAUUUCCAUUUCCAUGUCUGUACAUUUCCGCUGUACAGACACAUCUCAAAGAGAUAGCCUUGCAUUUAAAGCAUGCAGGUAAUAUGGAUUUCCUCUAACGUGGGCUCUAUUGCUAGCUUUACCAUUGGCAGUUAAAUUUUUUAAGUCAGCUUUAUUUAAGCCUGCAAAAUAUGCAAAGGACGUUUAAGAAGAAUAUACCCAUAACUACAAGAUUUUAUAGCGUGAUUAUUAUCAUUUUUGGGAUGGAAACUCAGAGCACUGGACGAAAAAUAGCUAGUUAAAUACAGCAGUCCAGUGUCUGUAAACCACUAAUUAAAUAAGAAAAUGCCUGUCUCAGACAGUCCAAACUAUCUGGACUGCGUUAAACUUUUGACACAUUGAAUUAAUAGAUCUUUACAAUUACUCAUUACUCAUCAGAUUUCUGUCCACGCUUUGCUUUUUUCAUGGAGUCUUGGUCGUAGUAGGAGCAGCAUGGGAAAACACACUUAUUCCUUAGCUUCUUUGGUUUGUACUCCAAGAUGCUAACUUAAACUGCAAAGCAUGUGAGUUUGUGCUAAGGCUGAGGUGUAGGCAUACAUUUAUGCCUGCUGUCCCUUCUGUGUAGGUGGUAACCUCUGGCAGAGGACAGGGUGGCCAGCUGGAAACAAUAAUAUCCUCAUCUUGCACAGGCUUGCACAGGCACAAGAACCCUGAGUUAUAUGAGCCAGAACUUCAGCAUAGCUCAGGGAAAGUUCUGCAGAGCCUAUAUUAAACCCACUGUGUAGGGAAAAGGGCUUUUUACUGUGGGUGGCUUCACUGUCCUAUGUGUUUGGAAAUAUAAAAUGAUUCCUUGAGACUUGAUCAAAAGAGUUUUUAUUGUCUUCUCUUUUUUUUAAUUCGAAACAUAAAUUUAUUGUGAACGUUUCACAGGCAUUCAUCAGGAUAGCAUAUUGGUGAUCUGUAAUAAGAAAUUAAAUGUAAGGUCCUGACACAAGAUGAUGAUGUUGACCUUUUAGUGCAUUUCCUAGGGCAUUUUCCCUCCCCUCCCCUCCUCUCCUCUCCUUUCCCCUUCCCUCCCCUUCCCUCUCCUUCUUCCCCUCCCCUCCCCU